rnacentral:rRNA from 1 species
GGUCGAAGCGGAGAAUUUAAGCCCCAGUAAACGGCGGUGGUAACUAUAACCAUCCUAAGGUAGCGAAAUUCCUUGUCGGGUAAGUUCCGACCUGCACGAAUGGCGUAACGACUUCCCUGCUGUCUCAACCACAGACCCGGCGAAAUUGCAGUACGAGUAAAGAUGCUCGUUACGCGCGGCAGGACGAAAAGACCCCGGGACCUUCACUAUAGCUUGGUAUUGGUGUUCGGUUCGGUUUGUGUAGGAUAGGUGGGAGACUGUGAUGCCUCAACGCCAGUUGGGGUGGAGUCGUUGUUGAAAUACCACUCUGAUCGUAUUGGACAUCUCAACCUCGGCCCGUGAUCCGGGUUAGGGACAGUGCCUGGUGGGUAGUUUAACUGGGGCGGUUGCCUCCCAAAGAGUAACGGAGGCGCCCAAAGGUUCCCUCAGCCUGGUUGGCAAUCAGGUGUUGAGUGUAAGUGCACAAGGGAGCUUGACUGUGAGACUGACAGGUCGAGCAGGUAGGAAACUAGGGACUAGUGAUCCGGCACCGGCUUGUGGAAGCGGUGUCGCUCAACGGAUAAAAGGUACCCCGGGGAUAACAGGCUGAUCUUCCCCAAGAGUCCAUAUCGACGGGAUGGUUUGGCACCUCGAUGUCGGCUCGUCGCAUCCUGGGGCUGGAGUAGGUCCCAAGGGUUGGGCUGUUCGCCCAUUAAAGCGGCACGCGAGCUGGGUUUAGAACGUCGUGAGACAGUUCGGUCUCUAUCCGCCGCGCGCGUAGAAACUUGAGGAAGGCUGUCCCUAGUACGAGAGGACCGGGAUGGACGUACCUCUGGUGUGCCAGUUGUCCCGCCUGGGGCAUGGCUGGUUGGCUACGUACGGAAGGGAUAACCGCUGAAAGCAUCUAAGCGGGAAGCCUGUUCCAAGAUUAGGUUUCUUUUGAGGUCCCCUAUAGAUGAUGGGGUUGAUAGGCCGGAUCUGGAAGCAUCGUAAGGUGUGGAGGUGACCGGUACUAAUAGACCAAACAUUCAACACACAAAGU